rnacentral:tRNA from 1 species
GAUGUGUGUGGCUCAGUGGUAAAGCAUUUGCCUCAUAUGCACAAGGCUCUGGGUUCAAUCCCCAGCAUCAUCU